CCUACGGGUGGCAGCAGUGAGGAAUCUUGGUCAAUGGCCGAGAGGCUGAACCAGCCAAGUCGCGUGAGGGAAGAAUGUCCUAUGGAUUGUAAACCUCUUUUGUCAGGGAGCAAAGUCACCCAAGUGUGGGUGUUGGAGAGUACCUGAAGAAAAAGCAUCGGCUAACUCCGUGCCAGCAGCCGCGGUAAGACGGAGGAUGCGAGCUUUAUCCGGAUUCAUGGGGUUAAAAGGGUGCGUAGGCGGGUAAUAAAGUCAGCGGUAAAAUCGUGGAGCUCAACUCCAUCCAGCCGUUGAAACUGAUGAUCUUGAGUGGGGGAGAGGUAUGCGGAAUGCGUGGUGUAGCGGUGAAAUGCGUAGAUAUCGCGAAGAACUCCAGUGGCGAAGGCAGCAUACCGGCGCCCAACUGACGCUGAAGCACGAAAGCGUGGGUAGCGAACAGGAUUAGAUACCCGAGUAGUC
rnacentral:rRNA from 1 species